CCCUAGAAAGUUCCGAAGGCA
rnacentral:tRNA from 1 species